GUUAUCUUUGGUGGUGGUCCGCCUAGUCAUCAAAUCUAUAAGUGCGAGAUGGCCGGCGGGA
rnacentral:tRNA from 1 species